rnacentral:rRNA from 1 species
CGUUAAUCGGGGCAGGGUGAGUCGACCCCUAAGGCGAGGCCGAAAGGCGUAGUCGAUGGGAAACGGGUUAAUAUUCCCGUACUUGGUGUUACUGCGAAGGGGGGACGGAGAAGGCUAUGUUGGCCGGGCGACGGUUGUCCCGGUUUAAGCGUGUAGGUGUGUGUUCCAGGUAAAUCCGGUUCACUUUAACACUGAGGCGUGAUGACGAGGCACUACGGUGCUGAAGCAACAAAUGCCCUGCUUCCAGGAAAAGCCUCUAAGCAUCAGGUAACACGAAAUCGUACCCCAAACCGACACAGGUGGUCAGGUAGAGAAUACCAAGGCGCUUGAGAGAACUCGGGUGAAGGAACUAGGCAAAAUGGUGCCGUAACUUCGGGAGAAGGCACGCUGACACGUAGGUGAAGUGAUUUACUCACGGAGCUGAAGUCAGUCGAAGAUACCAGCUGGCUGCAACUGUUUAUUAAAAACACAGCACUGUGCAAACACGAAAGUGGACGUAUACGGUGUGACGCCUGCCCGGUGCCGGAAGGUUAAUUGAUGGGGUCAGCGCAAGCGAAGCUCCUGAUCGAAGCCCCGGUAAACGGCGGCCGUAACUAUAACGGUCCUAAGGUAGCGAAAUUCCUUGUCGGGUAAGUUCCGACCUGCACGAAUGGCGUAAUGAUGGCCAGGCUGUCUCCACCCGAGACUCAGUGAAAUUGAACUCGCUGUGAAGAUGCAGUGUACCCGCGGCAAGACGGAAAGACCCCGUGAACCUUUACUAUAGCUUGACACUGAACAUUGAGCCUUGAUGUGUAGGAUAGGUGGGAGGCUUUGAAGUGUGGACGCCAGUCUGCAUGGAGCCGACCUUGAAAUACCACCCUUUAAUGUUUGAUGUUCUAACGUGGACCCGUAAUCCGGGUUGCGGACAGUGUCUGGUGGGUAGUUUGACUGGGGCGGUCUCCUCCUAAAGAGUAACGGAGGAGCACGAAGGUUGGCUAAUCCUGGUCGGACAUCAGGAGGUUAGUGCAAUGGCAUAAGCCAGCUUGACUGCGAGCGUGACGGCGCGAGCAGGUGCGAAAGCAGGUCAUAGUGAUCCGGUGGUUCUGAAUGGAAGGGCCAUCGCUCAACGGAUAAAAGGUACUCCGGGGAUAACAGGCUGAUACCGCCCAAGAGUUCAUAUCGACGGCGGUGUUUGGCACCUCGAUGUCGGCUCAUCACAUCCUGGGGCUGAAGUAGGUCCCAAGGGUAUGGCUGUUCGCCAUUUAAAGUGGUACGCGAGCUGGGUUUAGAACGUCGUGAGACAGUUCGGUCCCUAUCUGCCGUGGGCGCUGGAGAACUGAGGGGGGCUGCUCCUAGUACGAGAGGACCGGAGUGGACGCAUCACUGGUGUUCGGGUUGUCAUGCCAAUGGCACUGCCCGGUAGCUAAAUGCGGAAGAGAUAAGUGCUGAAAGCAUCUAAGCACGAAACUUGCCCCGA